UACAGAGGUCCCAAGCGUUGUUCGGAUUCAUUGGGCGUAAAGGGUGCGUAGGCGGCGCGGUAAGUCGGGUGUGAAAUCUCGGAGCUUAACUCCGAAACUGCAUUCGAUACUGCCGUGCUGGAGGACUGGAGAGGAGACUGGAAUUUACGGUGUAGCGGUGAAAUGCGUAGAUAUCGUAAGGAAGACCAGUGGCGAAGGCGGGUCUCUGGACAGUUCCUGACGCUGAGGCACGAAGGUCAGGGGAGCAAACGGG
rnacentral:rRNA from 1 species